UAUUGCUAAUUUGGUAGGGUCCGUCA
rnacentral:sRNA from 1 species